AUACGGAGGGUGCAAGCGUUAUCCGGAAUCAUUGGGUUUAAAGGGUCCGUAGGCGGACUAUUAAGUCAGAGGUGAAAUCCCACAGCUCAACUGUGGAACUGCCUUUGAUACUGGUAGUCUUGAGUUAUAUGGAAGUAGAUAGAAUGUGUAGUGUAGCGGUGAAAUGCAUAGAUAUUACACAGAAUACCGAUUGCGAAGGCAGUCUACUACGUAUAUACUGACGCUAAGGGACGAAAGCGUGGGGAGCGAACAGAAUUAGAAACCCGAGUAGUCC
rnacentral:rRNA from 1 species